rnacentral:rRNA from 1 species
CGCGGCCUAUCAGCUUGUUGGCGAGGUAACGGCUCACCAAGGCAACGACGGGUAGCUGGUCUGAGAGGAUGGCCAGCCACAUUGGGACUGAGAUACGGCCCAGACUCCUACGGGAGGCAGCAGUGGGGAAUCUUGCGCAAUGGCCUAACGGCUGACGCAGCGACGCCGCGUGUGGGAUGAAGCUCUUCGGAGUGUAAACCACUGUUGCCCGGGACGAACAGCUCGAUUAAUCGAGCCUGACGGUACCGGGUGAGGAAGCACCGGCUAACUCCGUGCCAGCAGCCGCGGUAAUACGGGGGGUGCGAGCGUUGUCCGGAAUCACUGGGCGUAAAGGGCGCGUAGGUGGUUUGAUAAGGGUGUGGUGAAAGUCCGGGGCUCAACCCCGGAUCUGCCGUGCCGACUGUCAAACUCGAGGACUGUAGAGGCAGACGGAAUUCCGGGUGUAGCGGUGGAAUGCGUAGAGAUCCGGAGGAAGACCGGUGGCGAGGGCGGUCUGCUGGGCAGUUUCUGACACUGAGGCGCGACAGCGUGGGGAGCAAACAGGAUUAGAUACCCUGGUAGUCCACGCCGUAAACGAUGGGUACUAGGUGCCUGGGGGAGCGACCCUCUGGGUGCCGGCGCUAGCGCAGGAAGUACCCCGCC